UGGAGCUAGGGUUAGGGUUGGGCUUGGAGCUAGGAUUUUUCUGAGUGCAUGAACCAACUCCCGAGUCUCUAGGGUUCCUAAAAAUUGAUUUUUUCCCAUAGGAGCAUGGGUUAGGGUUAGGGUUAGGGUUGGAGCUAGGGUUAGGGUUAGGGUUAGGGUUGGAGUUAGGGUUAGUGUUGGAGCUAGGGUUAGGGUUGGGCUUGGAGCUAGGAUUUUUCUGAGUGCAAUGAACCAACUCCCGAGUCUCUAGGACGUUCCUAAAAAAAUUUGAUUUUUUUCCCAUAGGAAUGCAUGGGUUAGGGUUAGGGUUAGGGUUGGAGCUAGGGUUAGGGUUAGGGUUAGGGUUGGAGUUAGGGUUAGUGUUGGAGCUAGGGUUAGGGUUGGGCUUGGAGCUAGGAUUUUUCUGAGUGCAAUGAACCAACUCCCGAGUCUCUAGGACGUUCCUAAAAAAAUUUGAUUUUUUUCCCAUAGGAAUGCAUGGGUUAGGGUUAGGGUUAGGGUUAGGGUUGGAGCUAGGGUUAGGGUUAGGGUUAGGGUUGGAGUUAGGGUUAGUGUUGGAGCUAGGGUUAGGGUUGGGCUUGGAGCUAGGAUUUUUCUGAGUGCAAUGAACCAACUCCCGAGUCUCUAGGACGUUCCUAAAAAAAUUUGAUUUUUUCCCAUAGGAAUGCAUGGGUUAGGGUUAGGGUUAGGGUUAGGGUUGGGUUGGAGCUAGGGUUAGGGUUAGGGUUAGGGUUGGAGUUAGGGUUAGUGUUGGAGCUAGGGUUAGGGUUGGGCUUGGAGCUAGGAUUUUUCUGAGUGCAAUGAACCAACUCCCGAGUCUCUAGGACGUUCCUAAAGAAAAUUUGAUUUUUUUCCCAUAGGAAUGCAUGGGUUAGGGUUAGGGUUAGGGUUGGAGCUAGGGUUAGGGUUAGGGUUAGGGUUGGAGUUAGGGUUAGUGUUGGAGCUAGGGUUAGGGUUGGGCUUGGAGCUAGGAUUUUUCUGAGUGCAAUGAACCAACUCCCGG